rfam:Croceibacter atlanticus HTCC2559, complete genome.
GACUGUCGAAGGAUUAACUUUAGACCUUAAUUCAUAGUC